UUAAAUUCCCCUUUAUUGUAAAUUACAUUUACAUUUGUCCCCACCCUUGAAAUACAUGCCGGGAGGUGGUUACCACCGGCCACACAUGCCGCCAAGAGGAAGCCGAUCAUAAAAAAAGGGAACUCCGGGGAAAUUCCGCCGACUGUGUUGGCGCGUCAACCCUAUCAAUCGAAAGUCGAUGCUUGAAAAACACCACCCAUCUUUCACACACUCACUUUCUAGAAUCCAAAUGAAGGGGUUUUUUUUUUGAGAAAGGGGUGUUCACCUGCAGUUACCGGUGAUGUUCCGGCCAUUAAUGAUCGAGUUGAGAACAUGGAGGCUGCAAACAGCAAAGUUUUGAGGUGGCGGUGGUCGUUUGACGGUGGUCGUGGGUUUUGAAGGUGUUGUUUCGACGGUAGUGGUUUGACAGGGGUUGUUUUGAUGGUGCGUGUUUAAGAUUGAACCUUAGCGACUUGCAUCUGACAUUAUAGGUGGUGUGAUACUUUCAGGAUUGAUCAUCUUCGUACAUGAUGUUGCUGGUAAAUUUAUAUACUUUUUUAAAUUUAAACUUCAAUGAACGGGCGGUGGUCCAUUGGUGCUACGCCGGUGCAAAAGAUUUCUACCCACCAGGCGAUGGUUCAAGCCCAGGUUGUUUUUCUUUGAUGUUUUAAGAUUUUCAUCCGUUUGCAUUGCUUUUGCUUCAGCUUUGUUUAUGCUCUUCAUCAUUCAUGUUGAGUCUUGAUGGGAAAAUUAAAGCAUGGUUAUACAAUAACAUGGGUUCCCAGGUUGAUUACGAGUCUCCAGGUCGUUGGUGCACAAUAAUCGCGUAUAGUGCUGAUGGAACAAGGCUAUUUUCAUGUUGGACCAGCAAAGAAAGGGAGUCACACAUAGUAGAAUGGAACGAAAGUGAAGGGGCUGUAAAAGAACAUUUCUUGGUUUCCGUAAACGAUCUUUAGGCGUUGUGCAAUUUGAUACAACUAAAAAACACUUUUUUGGCUGCUGGUGAUGAGCUUUGUGUUAAAUAUUGAGACAUUGAUAAUGUUCAACUUUAACAGGUGUUGAGGCUGAUGGAGGUCUUCAGUUACUUGGGGACCAAGAAUUGUCAUCUAUAUGCACACACUUUUCAAAGACAAACUGGCACCUGAAACCUGACUAACGCCAAUGCGACAAGAGAAUGCGAUCAAGAAUUCAAUAGUCUGAUGAAAGGUCAACAGGCGUCAUCGAUACAUGAACAUGGAGAAAAACCAUAAAAUCAGAGUGAACCGGAGCAACUUGCGGAAAACAACGGUGGUACCGGGGUUUGCGGUCACCGCAGUGGUGGUCAACAGUCGCACUCAAGUGUUGGCUAGGGUUUCGGUUGCCGUUUCAGGCAGAAACCGAUGGUGACGGCGGUUAGGGUAUCACCACAGGCGUUUCUUUUUUUUCCGGUGUGAGCACACGUGCUCGCCAUUCAACACCUCAUCUCAUCCCAUCUGCUUCUUGAUUCAGAUUAAGAGAGACUAGCAGGAGAGAAAGAUAACUGUUCUGGAAAUCGAAGCUUGGUUAAGCUACAAAUUUAUUGAGAUUAAGAGAGACUAGGAGGAAAAAAAGAAGGGCCGGUUUCCUCACAGCGGUUUCCUCACAGCGGUCACCGGUCACCGACCUUUGGUCGGAUUUCGAUUUAUGCAACCAUUGUGGCUGAGUAGGGUUCCGAUCAAGUUCUCGCAAAUUCCGCAUGGUGCCUUGAAAUAUGGACAAAGCUGCUCGAAUUUGGUCGGAAUUCAAGAAUAGUGGCAGCUUAGAGUGGAUUUUACUAGAUGAAAAUCCAUUUGAAACAAGAAUCACAUAACAAUAUGUUUACUUGAACAUUCAUUGGAUAAAUGCCGAUGACGAUGAUAGUGGUUGUAUCAGUGGCAGCGAUGGUAGUUACUGGUAAUGCCUAUGACGGUAACAGGUUUGAGACGAAUGGAGGCGACGGUAAAAGUUAUGAUGGAUUUAGUUGAUGACGGUGGUUUAGAUCGACUCCGACGUGUUUUCAGCCUAUCAUCGCGGGAAUGCCGACAUUGGGAUGGCCCAUGGUAAAAGGUUUUUGGGCUGUGGAGGUGGUGAGGAUAGGUUUUCGAGCCCAACAUUUGGAAACGUCUAAACCAUGAAUUUGAAGUUUAAGCAGUUCAGAGAACAACUUAAAUCCACCAGCAGUGCUUAAAAUGUUUAAUUUUAUUAAUUUACUGAAUGAUAUUAUUAGUAGUAGGGGUGACGGUGGGUUUGUGCCUUUGUGGGUUGAAUUGAUGAGCUUGUGUCGAAGACAUCAACCCGUAUACGGUCCGUCUGAUCACUUAUUACUCAAAGCUUUUACGGUUUGUAAACCGGUUAAAGGGGUUAACCAUAUAAAGCAAUCUAUUUUAAAAUCGUUUAAGUUUACGCGUUAAACGGUCAACCUGAACACGACAUGUUUAUUAAACGGGUUAGAACGUAGAAGUAACAACCCACAACCUAGCUAUUUCCGUGUCGUGUUUUAGGCUGUGUGGUAUAUGAUAUCGAGGUAUAAUAUAUAUGUUUUUUCGGUUAUCUUUGAUAUUCCAGAUUUUUCCUAGGAUUAAACAAAGUUAUGCAAGUUACUUUAGGUCGAUCUGAAUCCGAUGAGAUGAGGCCAGGGCUUCACAAGGUUUCUAAG
rnacentral:lncRNA from 1 species